CUGGUAAAAGUCGCUUGCUUCAACAGUAGGUACCAUAUGAAUCUGCAGUGCCUUGGGUCCAUAAAAUGUCAAAUGUGUCAAUGGAUAAACCUUUAAGACAUCAAUUCUGACAAGACCUCCCCAAAAUAGUGAGUAUCCAUUCAAGCCAUUCCCUUUGAUUUCACCAUUUCUCUCAUGAGAAGUUACCUGAGCAUUCCAAUAAUAAUCAAAGUGAAGUUGUUCAAGGAAGUUUUAAUGAUGAAGAAAAAAGGAGAAAAAGAAAAA